UAUCGCUAUGACGAGUAAAAUUAUGUUUUAAAAGUAGUGGACUGAAAUUUCCAUUGAUGAACAAAUUAAUUCCGAGCGAUA
rfam:Nicotiana attenuata strain TT chromosome 8, whole genome shotgun sequence.